CAGAGCAAAUAAUUUGGUACAUCAGAACCAAGCUUGUGCAUCCAGUGCACACUUUUAUUUUAGCAUUGAAAAAUAUUGACUGAGACAAGGUGUAAAACGCGGCUUAUGCAUUUGACCAUUUCCAACUUGGAAAGAAUGUGAAGAAAAGCACAUUUUUUUGCCUUCAUAAUUUUUAUGUCAUAUAUAGGACAUUGUGAAUGGAAAUAGAGUAAGUGCAUUAUUGCAUGAAGCUACAGCACAUACAAAAAAAUGUCAAAUUUAGCUUCUGAAAGGGAAAACCAAAAAUCAGCCUCUUUUGACAGUUUCUUUAAACUCUUACAAAAAUGAUUUUCAUUUGAGAUUUUUUCUGCAAGUACUUUGCUGGGCAUUCUGAAUGCAUAGCAAAACAUUGAUUUUCUCUUCUGUACUGCUGUUGCAGAUUUUGAUGGCAAAAUUUGAAGGGUAAAAAUAAAGACAAAAAUACUGAAAAUGUGAGACUUCCUGGGCACAAAUUUAAUAAAAACGAUCACUUCCUAUUUUA
rnacentral:lncRNA from 1 species